GAAAAAGUACUGCAAGAACUGCUAAUUCAUGCUCCCAUGUAUAAGAACAUGGCUUUUUCA
rnacentral:tRNA from 8 species